rnacentral:rRNA from 1 species
AUUGAACGCUGGCGGCAGGCCUAACACAUGCAAGUCGAGCGAAUGAGGGAAGCUUGCUUCCCGAUUUAGCGGCGGACGGGUGAGUAAUGCCUAGGAAUCUGCCUAUUAGUGGGGGAUAACGUUCCGAAAGGAACGCUAAUACCGCAUACGUCCUACGGGAGAAAGUGGGGGAUCUUCGGACCUCACGCUAAUAGAUGAGCCUAGGUCGGAUUAGCUAGUUGGUGAGGUAACGGCUCACCAAGGCGACGAUCCGUAGCUGGUCUGAGAGGAUGGUCAGCCACACUAGAACUGAGACACGGUCCAGACUCCUACGGGAGGCAGCAGUGGGGAAUAUUUGACAAUGGGCGAAAGCCUGAUCCAGCCAUGCCGCGUGUGUGAAGAAGGUCUUCGGAUUGUAAAGCACUUUAAGUUGGGAGGAAGGGUUGUAAGCUAAUAUCUUGCAGCUUUGACGUUACCAACAGAAUAAGCACCGGCUAACUCUGUGCCAGCCGCCGCCGUAACAC